GACGAACGCUGGCGGCGUGCUUAACACAUGCAAGUCGAACGGAAAGGCCUCUUUCGGGGGGUACUCGAGUGGCGAACGGGUGAGUAACACGUGAGUAACCUGCCCUUGACUUUGGGACAACUUCAGGAAACUGGGGCUAAUACCGGAUAGGAGCUCCUGCUGCAUGGUGGGGGUUGGAAAGUUUCGGCGGUUGGGGAUGGACUCGCGGCUUAUCAGCUUGUUGGUGGGGUAGUGGCUUACCAAGGCUUUGACGGGUAGCCGGCCUGAGAGGGUGACCGGCCACAUUGGGACUGAGAUACGGCCCAGACUCCUACGGGAGGCAGCAGUGGGGAAUAUUGCACAAUGGGUGGAAGCCUGAUGCAGCAACGCCGUGUGCGGGAUGACGGCCUCGGUGUAACGACUUCGUCUCAUGACGAAGACUUCGUGUGACGGUAGUGGGU
rnacentral:rRNA from 1 species